rnacentral:rRNA from 1 species
UACGGAAGGCAGCAGUGGGGAAUAUUGCACAAUGGGCGAAAGCCUGAUGCAGCUAUGCCGCGUGUAUGAAGAAGGCCUUAGGGUUGUAAAGUACUUUCAUCGGGGAGGAAAAAACAAAACUAAUAAUUUUAUUUCUUGACGUUACCCGAAAAAGAAGCACCGGCUAACUCCGUGCCAGCAGCCGCGGUAAUACGGAGGGUGCUAGCGUUAAUCAGAAUUACUGGGCGUAAAGAGCACGUAGGUGGUUUUUUUAAGUCAGAUGUGAAAUCCCUGGGCUUAACCUGGAACUGCAUUUUGAAACUGAAAUACUAGAGUAUCGUAGAGGGAGGUAGAAUUCUAGGUGUAGCGGUGAAAUGCGUAGAUAUCUGGAGGAAUACCUGUGGCGAAAGCGGCCUCCUAAACGAAUACUGACACUGAGGUGCGAAAGCGUGGGGAGGCAAACAGGGAUUAGAUACCGU